rnacentral:lncRNA from 1 species
CUGCUUUUAAUUAUUUUGCUGAGUAGCUAACAGGAAAAUACUAUCUACGAAUUUGGAGUUCAACUCGAAAGUGAGAACUCUAGAUUGCAUAUAGAAUUAAAUUGAGCAAGUUCUUGAACCUGGGCAUCGCGGAACGGAUUCGCAAUUAGGAUAUACAUAUACCUAAUUGCCUUGCUUGGUUGAAAUACAGGAGAUUCAUUCUUGUUAAUCUUAAUUUCAUAGACAUAUAGGCAUUAAGUUAGCUUGAAUAGGCGAGUAAGGACUCGA